GAUGAACGCUGGCGGCGUGCCUAAUACAUGCAAGUCGAGCGAAUGGAUUAAGAGCUUGCUCUUAUGAAGUUAGCGGCGGACGGGUGAGUAACACGUGAGUAACCUGCCCAUAAGACUGGGAUAACUCCGGGAAACCGGGGCUAAUACCGGAUAACAUUUUGAACCGCAUGGUUCGAAAUUGAAAGGCGGCUUCGGCUGUCACUUAUGGAUGGACCCGCGUCGCAUUAGCUAGUUGGUGAGGUAACGGCUCACCAAGUCAACGAGGCGUAGCCGACCUGAGAGGGUGAUCGGCCACACUGGGACUGAGACACGGCCCAGACUCCUACGGGAGGCAGCAGUAGGGAAUCUUCCGCAAUGGACGAAAGUCUGACGGAGCAACGCCGCGUGAGUGAUGAAGGCUCUCGGGUCGUAAAACUCUGUUGUUAGGGAAGAACAAGUGCUAGUUGAAUAAGCUGGCACCUUGACGGUACCUAACCAGAAAGCCACGGCUAACUACGUGCCAGCAGCCGCGGUAA
rnacentral:rRNA from 1 species